rnacentral:rRNA from 1 species
GUCCUCUCCGCUAUGCCGACGUUCGCCCUCACGGUGUUGAGAGCACCAAAGAAGUUUUUCAAGGAGGUAGAUAAAGCCAGACGUCGUUUCCUCUGGGCACAAGACGAAGAAGCAACCGGAGGAAAGUGCGAGGUAGCAUGGAGCGCGGUCACCACGCCGGAAUCCCACGGAGGCCUCGGUAUCCAUGAUCUGGACAAAUUCGCGCGCGCCCUCCGUCUGCGCUGGCUCUGGCUCUCCUGGACCCAUCCAGAGCGGCCAUGGGUCGGCACGGACACGCCAUGCAACCUGCAGGAUCAAGCCCUC